GGCGUAAAGCGUGCGCAGGCGGUUUUGUAAGUCUGAGGUGAAAUCCCCGGGCUCAACCUGGGAAUUGCAUUGGAGACUGCUAGGCUAGAAUCUGGCAGAGGGGGGUAGAAUUCCACGUGUAGCAGUGAAAUGCUUAGAUAUGUGGAGGAACACCGAUGGCGAAGGCAGCCCCCUGGGUCAAGAUUGACGCUCAUGCACGAAAGCGUGGGGAGCAAACAGGAUUAGAUACCCUGGUAGUCCACGCCCUAAACGAUGUCUACUAGUUGUCGGGUCUUAAUUGACUUGGUAACGCAGCUAACGCGUGAAGUAGACCGCCUGGGGAGUACGGUCGCAAGAUUAAAACUCGAAGGAAUUGACGGGGACCCGCACAAGCGGUGGAGGAUGUGGAUUAAUUCAAUGCCACGGAAAAAACCUUACGUACCCUUGACAUGGCUGGAAUCCCCGAGAGAUUGUGGAGUGCUCCAAAUAAAACCGUUACGCAGGUGCUGCAUGGCUGUCUUCCGCUCGUGUCGUGAUAUGUUGGGUUAACUCCCGCAACGAGCGCUACCCUUGUCAUUAGUUGCUACUAAGGGGCACUCUAAUGACACUGCCUGUGACAAACCAGAAGAGGGUGGAGAUGACCUCAAGUCCUCAUGGCCCUUAUGGGUAGGGCUUCACACGUCAUACAAUGCUACAUACAGAGCGCCCCCUACCCGAGAGGGAGAGCUAAUCUCAGAAAGUGUAUCGUACUCAUGAUUGUCUCUGCUCCUCUACUGCAUGAAGUUGGAAUCACUAGUAAUCUCUCAUCACAUGUCGCGGGUGAAUACUUUCCCGGCUCGUGUACACA
rnacentral:rRNA from 1 species